ACGAACGCUGGCGGCGUGCCUAAUACAUGCAAGUAGAACGCUGAAGAGAGGAGCUUGCUCUUCUUGGAUGAGUUGCGAACGGGUGAGUAACGCGUAGGUAACCUGCCCUGUAGCGGGGGAUAACUAUUGGAAACGAUAGCUAAUACCGCAUAACAAUGGAUGACACAUGUCAUUUAUUUGAAAGGGGCAAUUGCUCCACUACAAGAUGGACCUGCGUUGUAUUAGCUAGUAGGUGAGGUAAUGGCUCACCUAGGCGACGAUACAUAGCCGACCUGAGAGGGUGAUCGGCCACACUGGGACUGAGACACGGCCCAGACUCCUACGGGAGGCAGCAGUAGGGAAUCUUCGGCAAUGGGGGCAACCCUGACCGAGCAACGCCGCGUGAGUGAAGAAGGUUUUCGGAUCGUAAAGCUCUGUUGUAAGUCAAGAACGGGUGUGAGAGUGGAAAGUUCACACUAUGACGGUAGCUUACCAGAAAGGGACGGCUAACUACGUGCCAGCAGCCGCGGUAAUACGUAGGUCCCGAGCGUUGUCCGGAUUUAUUGGGCGUAAAGCGAGCGCAGGCGGUUUGAUAAGUCUGAAGUUAAAGGCUGUGGCUCAACCAUAGCUCGCUUUGGAAACUGUCAAACUUGAGUGCAGAAGGGGAGAGUGGAAUUCCAUGUGUAGCGGUGAAAUGCGUAGAUAUAUGGAGGAACACCGGUGGCGAAAGCGGCUCUCUGGUCUGUAACUGACGCUGAGGCUCGAAAGCGUGGGGAGCGAACAGGAUUAGAUACCCUGGUAGUCCACGCCGUAAACGAUGAGUGCUAGGUGUUGGAUCCUUUCCGGGAUUCAGUGCCGCAGCUAACGCAUUAAGCACUCCGCCUGGGGAGUACGACCGCAAGGUUGAAACUCAAAGGAAUUGACGGGGGCCCGCACAAGCGGUGGAGCAUGUGGUUUAAUUCGAAGCAACGCGAAGAACCUUACCAGGUCUUGACAUCCCGAUGCUAUUUCUAGAGAUAGAAAGUUACUUCGGUACAUCGGUGACAGGUGGUGCAUGGUUGUCGUCAGCUCGUGUCGUGAGAUGUUGGGUUAAGUCCCGCAACGAGCGCAACCCCUAUUGUUAGUUGCCAUCAUUCAGUUGGGCACUCUAGCGAGACUGCCGGUAAUAAACCGGAGGAAGGUGGGGAUGACGUCAAAUCAUCAUGCCCCUUAUGACCUGGGCUACACACGUGCUACAAUGGUUGGUACAACGAGUUGCGAGUCGGUGACGGCGAGCUAAUCUCUUAAAGCCAAUCUCAGUUCGGAUUGUAGGCUGCAACUCGCCUACAUGAAGUCGGAAUCGCUAGUAAUCGCGGAUCAGCACGCCGCGGUGAAUACGUUCCCGGGCCUUGUACACACCGCCCGUCACACCACGAGAGUUUGUAACACCCGAAGUCGGUGAGGUAACCUUUUGGAGCCAGCCGCCUAAGGUGGGACAGAUGAUUGGGGU
rnacentral:rRNA from 1 species